rnacentral:rRNA from 1 species
GUCGAACGGAAAGGCCCUGCUUGCAGGGUACUCGAGUGGCGAACGGGUGAGUAACACGUGGGUGAUCUGCCCUGCACUUCGGGAUUAGCUUGGGAAACUGGGUCUAAUACCGGAUAGGAGCCAUCUUUAGUGUGGUGGUUGGAAAGUUUUUUCGGUGUAGGAUGAGCUCGCGGCCUAUCAGCUUGUUGGUGGGGUAAUGGCCUACCAAGGCGGCGACGGGUAGCCGGCCUGAGAGGGUGUACGGCCACAUUGGGACUGAGAUACGGCCCAGACUCCUACGGGAGGCAGCAGUGGGGAAUAUUGCACAAUGGGCGCAAGCCUGAUGCAGCGAUGCCGCGCGGGGGAUGAAGGCCUUCGGGUUGUAAACUCCUUUCGCUAGGGACGAAGCUUUGUGUGACGGUACCUAGAUAAGAAGCACCGGCUAACUACGUGCCAGCAGCCGCGGUAAUACGUAGGGUGCGAGCGUUGUCCGGAAUUACUGGGCGUAAAGAGCUCGUAGGUGGUUUGUCGCGUCGUCUGUGAAAUUCUGGGGCUUAACUCCGGGCGUGCAGGCGAUACGGGCAUAACUUGAGUGCUGUAGGGGUAACUGGAAUUCCUGGUGUAGCGGUGAAAUGCGCAGAUAUCAGGAGGAACACCGAUGGCGAAGGCAGGUUACUGGGCAGUUACUGACGCUGAGGAGCGAAAGCAUGGGUAGCGAACAGGAUUA